rnacentral:rRNA from 1 species
CGCCUCUUGCUCAAUAUGUAUAAGAGGUCCCGCCUGCCCAGUGACACCAUGUUCAACGGCCGCGGUAUUUUGACCGUGCGAAGGUAGCGUAAUCACUUGUCUUUUAAAUGAAGACUGGUAUGAACGGCAUCACGAAGACCUUACUGUCUCCUAUAUCCAAUCAGUGAAACUGAUCUCCCCGUGAAGAAGCGGGGAUUUCAACAUAAGACGAGAAGACCCCAUGGAGCUUUAAACUUAAAUCACUUGCUUCAAUUAUAAACCCACGGAACAAGCACUUAACUAAGCAAUGAUGAUCUAUGUUUUCGGUUGGGGCGACCACGGAGAAUAAUAAAUCCUCCUCGAUGAAUGAAUUAAUCUUAACCAAGAGCCACAGCUCUAAGUAUUAGAAUAUCUAACAUACAUUGAUCCAAUCCUAUUGAUCAACGAACCAAGUUACCCUGGGGAUAACAGCGCAAUCCAUUUCAAGAGUCCAUAUCGACAAAUGGGUUUACGACCUCGAUGUUGGAUCAGGGCAUCCCAGUGGUGCAGCCGCUACUAAAGGUUCGUUUGUUCAACGAUUAAAGCCCUACGUGAUCUGAGUUCAGACCGGAGUAAUCCAGGUCAGUUUCUAUCUAUGCAGUCUUUUUCCUAGUACGAAAGGACCGGAAAAACAGAGCCUCUAACCUGUCAAGCUCUAACCUUAAAUUAGUGAAAACAUCUCAACUAAGAAAAGGCCUAAUAAACAACCCUAAACAAGGGCA